AGAAGAAGGGAAGCUGAAAGUCCACUGGAUAUGGUUAUAUAACAGACAGCAAGCUGUGGGCAGCCAGAUUGGGGCUGGGUCCAGUAUAAUAAGCAACGAGGGCUAAAAUAUUUAGAGGAAAAAGAAAAGAAUUUUAAAAAAGAGAAAUAAAAGAAACUCAGUCAACCCUUAUUUUGCAUUGAUCUGAUAGGAAAAGCACAGGCAGGGCUGGGGAAAGCCAGCAGGUGACUGAAUUCCACAAAGAGCUCUGAAGCCCUAAGCAGUGCUCAAGUCCUUCACCUUCCUGUGCAAUGAUGAUGCCACUUGUGUUGGAUUCUUCAUUGGCUUCCACUAUCCCAAGAAGGGUAUGGGAUCUUGGAAUCUUCGAAGUUGGUCAAUGCCAACCAAAAUAGAAGCUUGACAGAUAAUUGAACUCCAAUAUGUAUUCAUAAGUUCAACCUCAACUAAGUCAGUUUCUUUGAACCUGACUGAUCUUGAUCUUUUUUUCUUCUUCAACUUUUUACCAAAUAAUAUUUUAUAACGAAGUCAGAUCAAAACAAGAAUCAGAUGGACCAGGAGAAGGAGGACUUGCCACAUUAUAGAAUUCUGCUAAAAACUUAAUCAGCUGUACUUCUCUUGUACCUCUGGAGAUUUUAGAAGAUUAAAUUAGAGAAGUGAAUCCUAUCUUGGAAGCAUUUACAACUACCAAACUCAUGAGAAACAACACUCUCUUUUUGCCUAAAUAAUGCUUCAGUGAAUAUCUUUGCACAGCGGUCUCAAUAUUUCCUUAAGGAAAAGCACCAGAAAUAGAUGUUUUGUGAAUCACCGCACUGAUCAGAAGCUGUCAUCCUCUCAAGAGUACAUAUGACAAGCCCUAUAUCUUCAGAGCACUGCCAGCCCUUGGAAUACCUACCCAGAUGUUGCUGAUUCUGGUUUCAGCAGUUCUUUAGGAUCUUGCAUUUUCAUUAACCUACUGUAAUUAAGACCCCAAUCUUGACAGUCUGUGGCUAUUUUAGGAAUGUGUGGUGCUAAACAAUGAUGCCACAAUUAGCGUUUUUGUAAUGCAAACACCUCAUGUUCAUUCAGGACUGUAUGUUUUUGCUUCAUUGUUGCUUAUCAGCUGGGUUUCUGAAUUCAGCUAGAGACACAGCUUCCAUCUAGCAAGGAAUCUAAUUAGCUGCCACUAUUUUGGAGCAGUUCUAUUACCUGUUAGAGUUGCUUUCCAUCAAGUAAGUUCUGAUUUCAGCAGGUUUGUUUGUUGUUGUUGUUUUUUUUUUUUAAACUCAUAAGACCAAGCGGUAAGAAAAGCUUAAUGGGCUAAUGAAAACAAUCAUUCUUAUAUUUUAAGGGAAAGGGUGCAUUUGAUCUUAACGUGUCUGAGGACUCCUAUCCCUUUGUUAGAGGUCAUGUGGUUUCAGUCUAUAAAAGAAAUCAGAAUACAAGUAUAUGGCUUAAGCUUACUUUCCAUAAUUCUAGAUAUAGGCUGGGUCAUAGCAGGCCUUAUAUUAGGAAGUGACCCAUGACUUUCUCCAGAAGACUUGGUACAAGCCAGAUGGAGUAGCUUUUGGGGUGUUUUUUUGAAGGCUUCUAUCAAAGAUGGCAGCUGACAGUGAUAUUAGGGCAUCUUUUGAUGAACAAAGCGUUGUUAGAAAGAUGCUUAGACUACAGAAUAAAUUCAGGUGCAAUCAAUCAACAUAAGGGGAAAAUGAAGGCCAGCAUGUGAUCAAUUUCUUCUAGACAAAAUUGUAAACAGAAUUUUGUGGUUGUGCCCAUUAUCUCCUGUCUUUCUCUUACUUCCUUUGUAGUCCCCUCACUAUCCUGCUUCAAGCUGACAGUUCCUUUUUGUGUUCUGACUGCUCUUCCUAGUUGGUUUUUUUUUUUUUUCAGAUGAAAAUGACAACACCAUCCAUUUACAUUUAUAUCCUAUGUAAAAUGCAUAUUUUCAUCUUCCUGGGGUAUUUGCUCAUAAAAUUGUGUGUAUCUGUGAACUCAAACACUUGUCUAUGUAAAGCUAUUCCAGGUAAAUCAUACUUAGAGACUCCUGCGAAGGAGGCUGGAUACUGUAAUAGCAGGUUGGGAGUAAAGAGCUCCCGUUAUCUCUCAUACAGAGAACACCAAAUUCCAACUUUCUUUUAUCCAAGAUGCAGCAAUCAGAACAAAAUCUGGGUAAAUUAUCUUUUGAGGUACAGACUCAAUGUGAUCUUUUCUUUCAGAUGCUUUUGGUUCCAUAAGAGCUAUGCUAUAACAGUGUCUUGGAAGGGAUUAGGAUAUGCUGUGAACAGUUUCCAAACCCAGGGCUGUAUGAUGAUUUUAAACAGAGGUAAACAUACAUUCUAGAUUCCAAAAGCCUAAGGCAGUCUAUUCUGUUUUCCUCACUUUCCUAGUGUUUAGGUAUGCAUUGUUUUUUGGUUGAUGUCUUCCAGACUGCAAAUCGAUGUGUUCUGAUGGCAAUGAGAUAUAUGAUGACAAGAUUCCAUUAUUAUUUCCUCUUAAAUCCAACAUCUAUGUACCUGUAAUAUCCUUAAAUCUCUAUUAGUGGAUAAUAGACCCACAUUGAGAAGAAAUAUAUACAGAAAAACACAUAGAGUCUGAAUUGAAUCUAUGAAAUGUCAUAUAUGCUUAAUGGUAGCUGCCACACAAGCAGGCUGUCUUUUCUGUAGGAAACUGUGAAAGGAAAGAAUCUGGUAGAACAUAGUAGGAGACAGCUGAGGAAUCUCUGCUUCUACUCACCAAGUUCUAAAAGAGUAAAUUAGAUCAAGCCAAUUUGGACAAAAUUUGGUAGAGUUGAAAGAGUACCUGUUUCAGAAUUAAGAGGCAUAUUUCUCACUUCCCACCAUCUUAUAAUCAGGGUGAAGGAAUGUUGGGAAAAAACAUUUAAUAUAUCUGCUUUUCAGUUUCCUUGUGCUUAUAACUGCCUCCUUAUCUCUGCUUUCACUCCCAAUCUCUCCUUCCUUAAUAGAGCAGAAUAUCAUCUGAGCUUUUCUCCAAAGCAGGAUUAAAAAGUACAAUCUAUUACAUCAAUGGAAGGGAAUAUUCCUUAUAUUUUCAUUUUCACUACCAAAGGUUUUGUGAAAAUUGAACAUUUUAGUAAUGAGAGAUAAAUAUCAGUAUGUUCUUUUACCUCACUGGUAAUUAAUCUCCAUUUGGGUCAUAUGAUCUCCAUUUUAACUUAGGUACCACUUUCUAAAUCCAAGGACAUUCCCACAGAAUAAGUUUAUACACAGUAGAAAAGCAGCAGAAGAAUUACUUGGCUGUUUAGACAUAGACCAACCCAGAACCAAUUUAGAAUCACUAAGGUAACCAGGAAAUUGUGAAGAAUGCAUUUGGAAAAGAGUAGGAGGAAAGAGUGUGUAUCUUAAAAUAUCCAUGAACACUUGAUUAUAAUAUACGACAUCUUUCAGCUCCCAGGACUAGAAACAACACAAACAGAAUUCAGUUCAAGUUGGAAACUUCAGAGCAAUUUGAAAAAGAAAUUUCAAAAUGUUUUUAAAGCCUCAGUCUUGACUAUAUUCACCUUUUAAAGUUUAGUCAUAUAAAAAAGUUUGUUCUGAGACAUAAAGUGCUGAAUCAACCUUACAAUGCUAGAAAAUCUGUGUAUAAAUCAGAGCAAGGAAAAGGUGAAUCAACUUCCUGGAGUUACUGCUUCUCUGUGAAAUAUGAUUCAUCUGUCCUUUUUUAGAGCAUAAGUUUAAGAAAAACCUCUGAAUGUUUAACGACUUUAACGUCAAUCCCUCUAAAAUAAGUAAACCAAAAUCAACUCACUUAAAGACACUUAACAGUUGUGGGUUGAUAUUUCACUGUGGUUUUUCAUUUCCUAAAGACUGGUGAUGUUGAGCAUACUUUUUACACCUGUUGGCCAUUUGUAUAUUGUGUCUUGCUUCGAGAAAUGUUGAUUAGUAUUUUACUCAGUUUUAAAUGACGUUAUUUUCAUGCUUUUGACUUACUUGAGUUCUAUAUAUGUUUUGAAUGUUAAAUUUUACCAAGUGUGGGGUCUGCAAAUAUUUUAUCUCAUUCUCUAGGUUGUCUCUUGAUUCUGUUUAUCAAUCUUUAAAUAGUUAAAUCUAUUAAUAUUAUUUAAUUUCUUUCUAUUUUUAGUUGCAAUAUAGUGAUAUUAUUAGAUAUCUACUGUAUGUCAACAUUUGGUUUGUCUAUUUGUAUAUAAUUAUAGAUCUCUUUCAUUGGUUCUUAGGGUAUGUUAAAAUCCAGUAUGUGUUAAAUAAUAUUAUUGUCACUAAUUUAGUUGCUAAUGUUAGGGUGUCAUAGUUGUUGCUAUUAAUAUGUUUUAUGUGUAUGGCAAUAUCUGUAUCACCUUUGUGUCAUUAACAAUAGCCUAGUCCACUCCUGGAGUACUGGAUACUGGGCCAAUUACACCACAUCCUUCCAUCCCAAAUUAACUGAGUUAAUUUUGGGACAGACGCAAAGACCUGUAUUUAGCCAUGCCCAGAGUAUAUCACUAAAAAGCAAAUUCUAAGAAAAGAGAUCUCCAAACAAGUCUUUCCACUAUACGCCCCUGCAAACCGCAGCACAACAGAAAACAAAUAAAUAAAAAAUGUAGAAACAUGAGGAAAAAAGGCAAUAAAAUGUCUCUCCAAACUCCAAACUGCCCCAGAGCUAAUCUGUGGAGCAUUGUGGAGCAAUGAAAUUGAAGAAUUAAUAGAAUUAGUACUAAUCAUAAAGAAAAAAUAAUUACUACCAACUAAGAAAACCUAAGUCUCGAAGCAUUCACCACAAAUUUCUACAAGAAAUUUAGAGAAGGUGUAAUACCAAUAUUCCUCAAAUUCUUUAAUAAAAUUGAAAGGGUACUUCCAAAGUCUUUCCUGGAAACUAGCAUUACCCUGAUUGCAAAACCAGAAAAGGACCCAACAACAACAACAACAAAACCUACUAGCCAAUCUCUUUAAUGAACAUAGACACAAAAAAUCCUUAACAAAUUACUGGUAAACAGAAAGCAAAAAAGCCAUCAAAAAGAUCAUACAUAAUAACUAAUUAGGUUUCAUCCCAAUGAUGCGAGUAUGGUUCAAUACAUGUAAAUCAAUAAAGUGAGUCAAAAUUUUUC